GCGGGCAUGGUCUAGUGGCUAUGACGCCUGCCUAACACGCAGGAGAUCCCGAGUUCGAUCCUCGGUGCCCGUAUU
rnacentral:tRNA from 1 species